GACGAACGCUGGCGGCGUGCCUAAUACAUGCAAGUAGAACGCACAGUUUAUACCGUAGCUUGCUACACCAUAGACUGUGAGUUGCGAACGGGUGAGUAACGCGUAGGUAACCUGCCUGGUAGCGGGGGAUAACUAUUGGAAACGAUAGCUAAUACCGCAUAAUAUUAAUUAUUGCAUGAUAAUUAAUUGAAAGGUGCAAUUGCACCACUACCAGAUGGACCUGCGUUGUAUUAGCUAGUAGGUGAGGUAACGGCUCACCUAGGCGACGAUACAUAGCCGACCUGAGAGGGUGACCGGCCACACUGGGACUGAGACACGGCCCAGACUCCUACGGGAGGCAGCAGUAGGGAAUCUUCGGCAAUGGACGAAAGUCUGACCGAGCAACGCCGCGUGAGUGAAGAAGGUUUUCGGAUCGUAAAGCUCUGUUGUAAGAGAAGAACGGGUGUGAGAGUGGAAAGUUCACACUGUGACGGUAUCUUACCAGAAAGGGACGGCUAACUACGUG
rnacentral:rRNA from 1 species